UCAUCGAAUCUUUGAACGCACAUUGCGCCCGGUGGUAUUCCGCCGGGCAUGCCUGUUCGAGCGUCAUUAUAACCACUCAAGCCUGGCUUGGUAUUGGGGUUCGCGGUUCCGCGGCCCCUAAAAUCAGUGGCGGUGCCGGUGGGCUCUAAGCGUAGUAAAUCUCCUCGCUAUAGGGUCCCUCCGGUUGCCUGCCAGAACCCCCCAUUUUUUUAAGGUUGACCUCGGAUCAGGUAGGGAUACCCGCUGAACUUAAGCAUAUCAAUAAGCGGAGGAAAAGAAACCAACAGGGAUUACCUCAGUAACGGCGAGUGAAGCGGUAACAGCUCAAAUUUGAAAGCUGCCAACAGGCCGCGUUGUAAUUUGUAGAAGAUGCUUUGGGGGCCGGCCUAGUCUAAGUUCCUUGGAACAGGACGUCAUAGAGGGUGAGAAUCCCGUAUGUGAUUAGUGCCUGCUCCCGUGUAAAGCUCUUUCGACGAGUCGAGUUGUUUGGGAAUGCAGCUCAAAAUGGGUGGUAUAUUUCAUCUAAAGCUAAAUAUUGGCCAGAGACCGAUAGCGCACAAGUAGAGUGAUCGAAAGAUGAAAAGCACUUUGGAAAGAGAGUUAAACAGUACGUGAAAUUGUUGAAAGGGAAGCGCUUGCAACCAGACUUGCAGGCGGUCGAUCAUCCGAGGUUCUCCCCGGUGCACUCGAUCGUCUUCAGGCCAGCAUCGGUUUUGGUGGCGGGAUAAAGGCUCUAGGAAUGUGGCUCUUCGGAGUGUUAUAGCCUAGGGUGCAAUGCCGCCUACCGGGACCGAGGACCGCGCUUCGGCUAGGAUGCUGGCGUAAUGGUUGUAAGCGGCCCGUCUUGAAACACGGACCAAGGAGUCUAACAUCUAUGCGAGUGUUUGGGUGUCAAACCCAUACGCGUAAUGAAAGUGAACGGAGGUGAGAGCCCUUUAGGGCGCAUCAUCGACCGAUCGUGAUGUCUUCGGAUGGAUUUGAGUAAGAGCAUAGCUGUUGGGACCCGAAAGAUGGUGAACUAUGCGUGAAUAGGGUGAAGCCAGAGGAAACUCUGGUGGAGGCUCGCAGCGGUUCUGACGUGCAAAUCGAUCGUCAAAUUUGCGUAUAGGGGCGAAAGACUAAUCGAACCAUUGGAACACUACUAGGUGGUUAAGAGGCAAGAGAUCUAGUCCACCCGGUGGGCAACACUCUCAAAUUGCGGGGACGUCCUGUUAGUGCACCGCUACCGCAGCCGCUCCGAAAGGACGGUGAGCACCGGCUCUGGCGCCGGGGAUGGUAACAACGCGCGUGCUAGGGAUAAUCCGCAGCCAACUCCUACGGGCCCUCAGGGCCUACGGACGCAGUUCACAGACUAAAUGUGAGUGGGCUCUCCGAGCUUAAGUGAUAGUCGACCCCCCGCGAGAGCGGGCGGAAGCAGUGCUAGUAGCUGGUUCCUGCCGAAGUUUCCCUCAGGAUAGCAGUGUUGUUUUCAGUUUUAUGAGGUAAAGCGAAUGAUUAGAGGCCUUGGGGUUGAAACAACCUUAACCUAUUCUCAAACUUUAAAUAUGUAAGAAGUCCUUGUUGCUUAA
rnacentral:rRNA from 1 species